CCUCUGCUUCCUGCCUCUUUGAGGCUACUUGACCUGUGCCGUGGUUCUUCGUGGGUGUCUUCUGUCCCCGACGAGAUGGGAGCUCCAAGACGCUGGGGGAGAGAAGAAAGGGAACACCUACCUACUGGGGGCUUUCUGGUUGCCAGGUACCCCGUCGGGCUCGUUCACAGCGGCUGUUUCAUUUGUGCCUCAUCCCACCCCUGCGAGGAGCGGGCCGUGGCCGAAGAGGAGGCGGAGGAGACGGAGGUGGCGUGGGCUGUAGCAUCUUCGGAGCAGGAUAAAGAAGCCCUGGAACCCGGAGGAGCUUCUGCAUCGGGAAAACGCCAUGGGAACGGAGCCUUGAGCAUUGGUGGUGGCAGAGUGAGGGUUAACCAGUGAGCCUUCCUGGGAGCUUUUUGAUGCCAGGUUCGUUUCCAAAUGCAGCGGUGGCUGCCUGCUUCCUGACGCGAUUGAAUCCCGUGGGAGGGGAGUUGGACACCCCGAAACCCCUCGUCACCAGUUCCGGGGCUGCAGAG
rnacentral:lncRNA from 1 species